rnacentral:rRNA from 1 species
GGGGGGGGCAAGCGUUGUUCGGAAUUACUGGGCGUAAAGGGCUCGUAGGUGGCCAACUAAGUCGGACGUGAAAUCCCUCGGCUUAACCGGGGAACUGCGUCCGAUACUGGGUGGCUCGAGUCUGGGAGAGGGAUGCGGAAUUCCAGGUGUAGCGGUGAAAUGCGUAGAUAUCUGGAGGAACACCGGUGGCGAAGGCGGCAUCCUGGACCAGUUACUGACACUGAGGAGCGAAAGCCAGGGGAGCAAACGGGAUUAGAUACCCCGGUAGUCCUGGCCCUAAACGAUGAAUGCUUGGUGUGACGGGUAUCGAUCCCUGUCGUGCCGAAGCUAACGCAUUAAGCAUUCCGCCUGGGGAGUACGGUCGCAAGGCUGAA